CCUACGGGAGGCAGCAGUGAGGAAUCUUGGUCAAUGGGGGCAACCCUGAACCAGCAAUGCCGCGUGCGGGAGGACGCCCUUCGGGGUGUAAACCGCUUUUCUGCGGGAAGAGCAAGGACGGUACCGCAGGAACAAGUCACGGCUAACUACGUGCCAGCAGCCGCGGUAAUACGUAGGUGGCGAACGUUAUCCGGAAUUACUGGGCGUAAAGGGUCCGUAGGCGGUGCGACAAGUCUGACGUGAAAGCGACCGGCUUAACCGGUCGAGGCCGUCGGAAACUGUGGCACUGGAAUCUGGCAGAGGUCGGCAGAAUUCCCGGUGUAGUGGUGGAAUGCGUAGAGAUCGGGAGGAAUACCAACAGCGCAGGCAGCCGGCUGGGUCAAGAUUGACGCUGAGGGACGAAAGCGUGGGGAGCGAACAGGAUUAGAUACCCCGGUAG
rnacentral:rRNA from 1 species